CCCUCCUGAUGGUCUGCUCUCAGAUCCCUGCCCGUUGUCAGCUGAUUCCCACCAACAGCUGAGUGCCCGUACAACGGACGUUCACAGAAUGAUAAAUGCCAGGGCACUUAGAACCGCACAGACACGGGCCUCUAAUGCUUAUUAUCAAGAACUUGCCUUGUGACACAGACGGAAAACCACCCAGAUGGAGAAGGCUAGAUAAUUACGGCCAAAUCAUACCAAGAACCAUGUUUGAAAAGGCAAGCUGUUGAAUGUUUAGCUAGAAUCAGAGGGUCUCUCUCCUCUUUGACUAACAGGGAAGAUGAUGACAUCUUUGCCGAAACUACAGGACACGCUACGGCUGCGUGGUUGGGCAGACCAUAACCGAGCAGGCGCAUGCAAUGAAGGGCUGGCGGGGAGUCUCCCAGCAGUGCCUGGCACGCGGUAGACAUGCAGUGGGAUGUUGCUGAAAGGAUGAAUCAGCAGAGGGGUGACAGUCGAGGUCAGGAAAAUGGACAGGCGUCGCUUGCCCAACAGAGUGAAUUUAAGCCUGUGCAAGUAACAGAAAUAGAAUUAUCAUUCAUUCUGGAGACGCUGAGGAUGAUGCAUUGAAGGACGUGGGAUCCCUGCCCGGGCAGAGACAGCGGACCGUCUCGGCAGUGGCCAAUGUGAAGAGAAUGCUUAGGGGAGCAAGAGUGCGGAGCAUGAGGAACAGUCCAGAACCAGAAGCAGAGUUGCAGCCUUGUCCCCCAGAUAGACGCGGACCCCGCGCCUCUCACGGAAUUUUCCUGACCUCGUCCAGCACCCAGACACUUCACAGCGGGCCUGCCGUUUAGUCCUGGGUCUGAGUCUGUGCCUGGAGCCAGGUAACCGGAUCUGAUAGCCGCGGGAUUCUGCCUCAGAACGACGACUUUCCUGAACCGAUUCCCUGAUAAAGGGUGGAAUCCCUGAAAGCAAUCACUGAGAAGAGAAAAUGAUCCCGUCUGAGUUAGUUACCUCUCUGAUACUCUGGGAUGAUUCAAGAUUAAAAAUCAUAGGAGGAACUCAGCGGGAGGAAUCCCUCCAAAAGAAGAAGUAACAGAGCUCCUGGACUUGCCGAAGCCUUGGCUCCACCCAGGCUCAGCCGUCUAGUGUCUCGUCGUAGCAGUGUACUAAUCCUGUAACUGCCUUGGAAUUAACAUCAGGGCUAAAAGAACCAGAAGACCCAUGAAGGCGAGCACUGAAGUUUACACCUUGCUUCGACUCAGAUCUGAACUGGAAUCGCGGACCUUUGAAUCAGGGAAGUGGAAAAAAGGACUCAUAAUGAAAAGAAAUUGAGGAAGCGAAAUCUUCAGACUUGCCAUGUGGAAUGCGGACCAUGGGGGGAAAGUUGAAAUGGGUCCCACGUUGCUAGCCUGGGACGCUGCUUGGCGCUAUCAUUGAAGACACUUUCUGCCUCGAGUCACAGAACAUUAGGCAAAAAAAGGGAUUUAUUGCCUCAUGUCUGAAAAACCCUGGGUACAACCGGCUUUGGGGCCAACUCACUCCAGGGCCCAACCCAUGGCCAGGGCCCACGUCCGCCUCCUCUUGGCUCUGCUCUGCUUCAUGCUGACGCCUCACCGUCUCAGACUUCACGUGCCCUGUAGCGCCAGGCUUGUCCUCCCAGAGCCGGUGCAAUAAAUAGGUAAAUUAACAAUAACAUUCAUAGUCACCUUUGCUUCCAACCUAGGCAACCGCUCUUCCUUUCGGCAGGUACUGACACUUGUAAUUUCCCCAAGAGUGACAUAGGUAGGAAAACUGAGGCAGAUUAAGUACUAGCCCAAAGUUGCAAAGGAGAGACAGAGGCGGGAUCUGAGUGCCGGUGGGCUGGUUUCAAAGUCUGUGCUCCUGACAGUAACCUGCGGGGGAAUCCGAAGCACAGAGAAGUGCCGCUUCUGGAAGACAGCCACCGUCUUGGCGGUUCGAGCUGCAGUGCGUUCGUCCUGGGCUCCUGAGGCUGCAAGAGGGCGAUGCCUAAUUGUCCAGGCUGAAGUCACAUGCCCAUCCGGAGGUGGGCACGCAGAAAUGGAUUCCAGAACUCCGGGGCUGGGGGGUGGGGGUGGGGGUGGGGAGUGGCCCAGCGAAAGGAUAUCGAUACUCUCUUGAGAACAACCAGCGACACAAGAGCUCUCCGUCACAACGGAGAGAGAAGAUAAAGAAGAGGAAAGGGCUUUGGGGGGAAAUGAUGCGCUCAGUAUCAGAGAGCUAAAGUUUGACGUGCGAGAAAAGCAUCCGCGUGCAUGUGCGGCUCAUUGGACAUCUUGAUUGAUCCUUGGAACAAGAUGAUAAUAAAAAGCCGAAAAUAAAAUGAUAGCAGAGACCUACUGGGCAAAUGACAAUGAAAACUCUGCAGGCUAAAAGCACUUAGAGUAUGGAGAACAUCCUUAUAUAGUGAUAAACAACGCAAAUAAGAAAGAUGUAACUGUCUAAAAGUAGACAGCAAAGGACUUAGAAGCUAAAUACAUUUAGGCAAGGAAAACGUACAGCGUUAUAAUGAGAGAGUUCAAAAUACCUCUCACAAUGAGCCAGAAUUAGUAGUCAAAAAGUGACUCCUCAUGCUGUAGGCCUUAAACUUAUCCAGUGUUGUUUGUCAAUUUUAUCUCAGUAAAACUGGAGAAAAAAAAUCACUCAGUCCAACACAGUAAUACAGUGUUUUACUGGUCAAAACAUUAUUCAGAUGAUCAGACUAUUGUUAUAUCAAGUAACAAUAUAGUACAUAUAAGGGCUUCUUCCAUCCUACAAAUAAAGAAAAUUUUUUUUUCAUAAAAAUGAAAAAUUAUAGGAA